UUUUAUCAAUUCAAUAAAAUUAACUUAAAAUAUGAUCAGAUUUAACAGAUUGUGUUUAAUAUUGGUGUUGGCGGCAUUUGGGAUGAAGAAGAUAUUGAAAGAGCAGAACAGCAAUGUUGCCGGGAAAGACGAACAAAGCGACGCGGCCGAGGGUAUGCUCACAAAUAAGAGGAAAAAAUAUGGGACAUCUUCUGUUUUAAAUGUGUAUUAAAUGUGGCAAAACAUAUCAAACAAGUGGGAAUACGACCAACUUGUCUUGCCACAUAAAGAGGAUACAUCCUAAUUUAACAGUAAGUGAUUUGCCACAAAGGCAACAGCUGUCAAGUCGGUCAUUCAUUGAGAAAAAAUAUGAAACAUCGUCGAACCGAAAACAAACACUGGACAGUGCCUUAUGCUCCUACAUUACCUCAGACUUGCGCCCUUUUUCAGUGCUGGAAAAUAAAGGCUUUAGAAAUUUCGUAAGCCACCUUGAUCCAAGGUAUGAAUUGCCUUCACGAACCACAUUAAGAAACGUUUCGAUGGCAAAUGCAUACGCAGAAAAGAAGGCCAAGUUGUUCGAACUUUUAAAAAACGUAAA